AUCUCCUCUCUCCCUCACUUCUUUUCUCCUUCUGCAUCUGGAAGCAGGAACUCGGCAGCCAGUCCUUCUGCCACGUCGAACCUCCCACCGGUCCAUCUUCCCUCACUGCAGGAGCAACCUUUCCUCUUCAUAUUUUUCCCCCUCACUACACUUUGGACAGAUGCAUAUAGACACCUUUUACCGCUGAAUGUGAGGACAGGGAAGCAGGGUGGCUCAACCGGAGGAGAUGGGAAACAACUAAGACGAAGAUCCAAAGAAGAGGAAGAGGAUCAAGAAGUUGCAACCUUUCUGCAGCUUGUCUUUCCUCCUGAGAACCCGACGUGGAAUGCUACCCUUCACAGUGGGAAACAGGAGGGAAUGUCACUAAAUCUGCCAGUCAGUGGCCAUCACCUCUGUCUAACCUUCCUCCUCCUCUAACCCCCCCACCACCCUCCAUUCACCCCUUUCCAGCCAGAGAAACCUGGACAAGUCUCACUGUGGAUUUGCAGCAAGUAUUCAAUUGUGACAAUGAAGCCACCCCACAGCAUCCCCGAGCCGCCUCGCCCGCCUGCCCAGUGUUCAGACUACCUGUUCAGGAAGUAGUGGUUGUACAGUAGUCUGCACAUUGGUUAGGCUGGCCUGGGAAAGACGCAUGGAUACCUUGGGUUGGGAAUGAGACCAAAGGGAAUCAAGGAAGAUCCAGCUUACGGAAAUAAUGAGCGAGAAAUUAAAUAAAUCCAAACAAGCCAUGGCACCAUCAUAAAGGUCUAAAGCUCAUCCAGGAUGGAACAAAUGAAAAAAAAAAGUAAUUUAAUUCAGCUGCUGUGGAUUGAUUUUAUUUAAAGCAAUUGUAAUAAAGAUAUUUUUCAGUGACAUUGUCUGUUUAUUUUUUAUUUUUACUCAAAUCCUUCAUCCAGGUUUCAAAGAAAUAUGACAGAUCUAAGUAAGGGUUGCAUGACAGUGUUGCUAUGUUGUUUAUUUUCUUUAAAAAACAACCAUUUAGCUCCAAACAAAUAACGCAUGCUAACCCCAAAGGAUAACUAAAGCACAGAGUAAAACCCCCAACAUCAAGUUGCACCCAUGAUGGAAAUGUACAAUUAUAUGUCUGUUUUUUCUCUGCGUCAGUUUGUGGCUCCUUUACCUCAAAUGACCAUGUAAAGAGAAGCAAGACAGGAAGCCACCCUGGAGAAAACUCAAAAAAGCAGCUGUACUCUGUUAUCUUCUAGUCACGGAGGUCACACGUCAUUGUAUAUAAAAAAUUAAAUAAUGGACUGCAGUAAAAAUGUAUAGGAAACAUGAAAGGUUUAAGUGCAGCUUUUUAUCCCCUUAUGUUUUAUUUUUCCUUCUUCUCUCUGGGGGGGGCAAAAAGUGUUGCCCUCUGGUCUCGCCUAUGUUUGAUAAAGCAAACACACACCGUACGAUCAUCAACUUUUCAAAAGCACAAAGCAAAAGAGGGCCAAAGUGUUCACACGGUGUCUCAUCACAGUGCAUCAUGUGGAGGAAUGCAAACCAAAAACCAACCUGUUUCCAUUUAGAGCCCCGCCACCAUGGCCCAAGGUUUUUAUUUUCUUCAAUAGCAUGCAUAAGUCGCAGCUCAAACACAUAUAUAAGGGCACAAACACAACUAGCAAAGCAUGCCUUGUCUGUGAGGCCCCCCCAGGAUGUUUACAGCUGGGGUCAACCAGACCGAGAUCUGGCUUUUUGGCAGGUUUACAGCAGGAGAAGGGAAACCCAGGCAAACCCAAAGAAAAUAUAAAGCCCACAGUCACAAAUCGUGUGAAUCGUCUCAUAGGAAAAUGCUUAUGUUCCCUUAUUGUUUUCUCAUUAACCAGUUUUUAUCAGUCCCAGUCCACUGUACCCUGCUCUGACUCUGCUUUGGAAAACCUUUUAGCCAAAAACAUGAUCAUGAUUCGAGGGACUGGCAUUCACUGCGGUAAUACAGACCAGAAGGUUCCUAAAAGCAGACACACACGCAUGUGUACGCGCACUAACCAAAACAUCCUGGCAUCAAUGAGUAGGGUUCAAAGUUAUUAUUAGUGUCAAAGAGUGAUGAGUGUGUGUGUUUGUAUGUGUGCAUAUGGUUCUCCCUCUCCCUCAGUCAGGGUUUUCCCCAAGAAAAGAGGCAGCCAAUGAAACGGCAGCGGUGAACAUAUGUUCCUGCUAAAGAAGUGCUUUCAGUCAUACAUUUUUUUCAUUUUCUACGAUACAUAAAAACUUUGUCGGCCAUGUUUAUUUUGGCAACAUCUCCCCCAAGGUUUGUAGUCUGAGCCCUUAGGACAACUCCAGCCUCCAGUGUCUGUGUGCGAUCGAGAGGCCAGUGUGUGAAAUGUUAAGCUUAGAUUGAAAGCAUUUGUUUUUUUUGUUCAUGGCAAGCUCAGUUAUGCUUUGCCCUCUAGCUUCGCUACUCAACUGUAACACCAAAUGUUGAGUGUUGGUCUUAAGCCCUGGAGGCCAAUGUUUAAAUAAAUAUAGAGUAGAAAGAAGAAGGAAGUGACGGAGAAAGAAAGAAAGACAGAAAGAAAGACAGAAAGACA